rnacentral:lncRNA from 1 species
UUGAGAAGGUAGAGAGGCAUCCCCAAGAGAAGAAACUAUAUGUGCUCAACCAGAAGUGGGAAGAAAAUGAGGGGCUUUAGGGCAGCUGGGAGCAGAUCAGAGUGUGUGCCUCAGGGGUUUGGUGGUAGGAGGUUGAUUUCAGCCUUUGUAGCAGCCAAGGAGUUCCUUCUUGAGCCUCCACCUUCCUGCCAGGCUCUGAUCAUGGGUGAGCUUCAUGGAUAGGUGCCCAGGAUGCUGGGCAUCCUAUCAGCUGGGAUGGCAGUCACUGAAGGAUUUUUCCAAGGCCUCUGUAGCAUCCAAGACACAAAAUCUGUCCCAUGGGCUCAAAGUCAUGGGUAAACAGGAGGCAACUUAACCCACAGCUUCAGAAACCCCAGACACUAAAAUACACAGCUAAGCAGCCCUUCUGGUUUCCAGUGUCUCCAAAUGUAUCUCCAGCUUGUGAGCAGAUACCUCAAAUCCCACUCACUGUUCAUUUAGCUAUGAAAAUGACAUAUUAGGAAUAAGUGUGAAUUUUCUGGGAAACAGGACAAGGAGACUAAGGAGCAAGUGGCUGAUGUGAAGCAAAUAAAGGUGUUUAUAAGAGGAUCUGUAUUAUUAGCCAGGUGUAGUGGCAUAUGCCUCUAGUCCCAGCUAAUUGGGAGACCUCGUAAUCCACCCGCCUUGGCCUCCCAAAGUGCUGNNNNNNNNNNNNNNNNNNNNNNGCAGUGGCAUGAUCUUGGCGCACUGAAACCUCUGCCUCCCGGGUUCAAGUGAUUCUCCUUCUUCGGCUUCCUGAGUAGCUGGGAUUACAGGCGACCGCCACCAUGCCUGGCUAAUUUUUGUAUUUUUAGUAGAGACGGGGUUUCACCAUGUUGGCCAGGCUGGUCUCUACUCCUGACCUCAAGUUAUCCACCCACCUCUGCCUCCCAAAGUGCUGGGAUUACAGGCAUGAGCCACCGCACCUAGCCUUAACAGAAAUUUUAUGAAUAAGAAAUAUCCUAGGUCAGAUAAUAUUAACAUUUUAAAAAAUAUAUCUUGCAAUACAGAUAGUCAAUUUGUUUUCUUUUUUUCUUUCUUUCUUUUUUUUUUUUUUGAGACAGAGUCUCGCUCUGUGGCCCAGGCUGGAGAGCAGUGGUGUGAUCUUGCCUCACUGCAACCUCUGUUUCCCGGUUCAAGCGAUUCUCCUGCCUCAGCUUCCUGAGUAGCUGGGAUUACAGGCGCGCACCACCGCACCCGGCUAAUUUUUGUAUUUUUAGUAGAGAUGGGGUUUCGCCAUGUUGGCCAGGCUGGUCUCAAACUCCUGACCUCAGGUAAUCCACCUGCCUUGCCCUCCCAAAGCGCUGGGAUUACGGGCAUGAGCCACCAUGCCUGGUGUGGGGUAUACAAUUGAAUUGUAUACAAGGAUUGAUAACAAAUGCAUUGGGCAUUCAGAGAAAUUAGACAUCAUUCAUGCGGUCCAUAUGGAGAAAACUGGACUGGAGGAGGGGGCAGAACGAAACACCACUAACCAUUCCCAGGUUCUAGUGAUUUAGGUCAGCUGUGCAGGGGGUGUCCAAUAUAACUACAAUCAAAGACAAAAUUCAAGCUCGUGAGAGACACAUACACAAAAUAUAAUUAAAGCCCAAGGGAAGAGAGGUGUUAGUAUGAGAUGGCUGAGCAAAAAACUCAGCCUUAAUGGUUUUGUUUCGGCAAACAGCUAUAGUGAGAAAAGAGAAGCAUCGCAGCAUAAGGGAAGAUAGAGAGGAAGGAAAGCACGUCCCAGGAAAAACACAGAACCUGGUUUGGUUGGGUUGUUCAAUUAAGUUUAGCCUAAAGCUGCCCCUCUAUAUAUUUUAAGUUACACCUAACUGUUUCUCUAUCCGUAGUGAACUGUAACCUAACUUGAUGUGUAAACAGACUGUGCUGUGACCAAUCAGCUAUUUCUGUACUUCACUUCCGUUUUCUGUGUGUCAUUUUCUUUUUUCUGUCCAUAAAUCUUCUCCCACCACAUGGCUGCACCAGAGACUCUCUGAACUGAUGCUGGCUUGGGAGGCUGCCCAAUUUAUGAAUUGUUCUUUGCUCAAUUAAACACUGUUAAAUUUAAUUUGUCUAAGGUUUUUCUUUUAAGGCAAUCAUAGAGUUCACAUCACAGAGACUUAGGGGAGAACAUGAUAAAGUGGCAAUAUUUA